CCUAGUUUAUACUAAGUGACCCAUAGGUUGAGGAGGCGGUGGAGGAGGAGGCAGCCAACACUGGUUUUAUAUAUAUUUUAAUUGUGGUAGCCCCCAAAAUAUUGGGACAUAUGAAAAAAAUGACAACUCUGUUCUGCAGAGUAGCUGUUUACAUUAUAGUUGCACAGGAACUUUGUUGACCCUAGAGAACCUCCCCGUGGCGGCGACUUUGCAUGCGGAUGUCAUCCAUAUCAACUUUCGAUGCCAGUUUCUGCACCUACCAUGGUGACAUGGGUAACGGGGAACCAGGGUUCCAUUCCAUACAGGGAACCUGAGUAACGGCUACCACAUGCAAGUAAGGCAGCAGGUGCACAAAUGACCCACUCCCGACGCGGGAAGAUAGUGACG